GAAAUGCGAUACUUGGUGUGAAUUGCAGAAUCCCGUGAACCAUCGAGUCUUUGAACGCAAGUUGCGCCCGAAGCCAUUAGGCCGAGGGCACGCCUGCCUGGGUGUCACACAUCGUUUCCCCAACGCAAACAUGUAACAAUGUUGCUGCGCAACUAACC
rnacentral:misc_RNA from 1 species